GUGCUAGCUUUGGCAGCACAUGAACUAAAACUGGAAUAUUACAGAGAAGGUUAUUGUGGCCCCUGGUCAGGGAUAACACACAAACUUGAGGUAUUCCAUUAUCUGUU